CCCAAUCCCAAGGGGCCUCACCGGAGCCUCUCGCUGAUCCCUGCCAGGUUUGUCAGAGCCAUGAGGGCCUCGAAGUUCUGCAGGCCCGAGCAGCUGAGGUGCAACAGGGAGACCAGGGGCCGGACCACCUCAUAGAUCUGUGAAAUGCACCCCACCUGUCAGGACGACUCUCCUGGCGCCACUGACCCUGAAGCCCCUGCGCAGACCCUCUUUGCCCUCUGAGGUCUCUCACUAAGCUACCCAAACAUUUCCCGAAAACACCUGUCAGGGGCUAGCCAUGGACUGUGCUGGGCUGCAGACGUCAACAACAGGAGAGAGGAGCACGGAUCUCUGGUGUGGUGGCCACUGAGCCACAUUUGCAGGCCAUCAUGUAGGAGUCUGUAAGGCAGCUUACCUUGCCUCCUCCCUGGGCAACCACCGUGCCGCGGUCCUCCACCUCUUCCACCAAAGCCAGGAAG